GAUGAACGCUGGCGGCGUGCCUAUUACAUGCAAGUCGAGCGAAUGGAUUAAGAGCUUGCUCUUAUGAAGUUAGCGGCGGACGGGUGAGUAACACGUGGGUAACCUGCCCAUAAGACUGGGAUAACUCCGGGAAACCGGGGCUGAUACCGGAUAACAUUUUGAACCGCAUGGUUCGAAACUGAAAGGCGGCUUCGGCUGUCACUUAUGGAUGGACCCGCGUCGCAUUAGCUAGUUGGUGAGGUAACGGCUCACCAAGGCAACGAUGCGUAGCCGACCUGAGAGGGUGAUCGGCUACACUGGGACUGAGACACGGCCCAGACUCCUACGGGAGGCAGCAGUAGGGAAUCUUCCGCAAUGGACGAAAGUCUGACGGAGCAACGCCGCGUGAGUGAUGAAGGCUUUCGGGUCGUAAAACUCUGUUGUUAGGGAAGAACAAGUGCUAGUUCAAUAAGCUGGCACCUUGACGGUACCUAACCAGAAAGCCACGGCUAACUACGUGCCAGCCGCCGCGGUAA
rnacentral:rRNA from 1 species